AUUGAACGCUGGCGGCAUGCCUUACACAUGCAAGUCGAACGGUAACAGGUCUUCGGAUGCUGACGAGUGGCGAACGGGUGAGUAAUACAUCGGAACGUGCCCGAGAGUGGGGGAUAACGAGGCGAAAGCUUUGCUAAUACCGCAUACGAUCUCAGGAUGAAAGCAGGGGACCGCAAGGCCUUGCGCUCACGGAGCGGCCGAUGGCAGAUUAGGUAGUUGGUGGGAUAAAAGCUUACCAAGCCGACGAUCUGUAGCUGGUCUGAGAGGACGACCAGCCACACUGGGACUGAGACACGGCCCAGACUCCUACGGGAGGCAGCAGUGGGGAAUUUUGGACAAUGGGCGCAAGCCUGAUCCAGCCAUGCCGCGUGCAGGAUGAAGGCCUUCGGGUUGUAAACUGCUUUUGUACGGAACGAAAAGACUUCUUCUAAUAAAGGGGGUCCAUGACGGUACCGUAAGAAUAAGCACCGGCUAACUACGUGCCAGCCGCCGCUGUAAUAC
rnacentral:rRNA from 1 species